UACGUAGGGUGCAAGCGUUAAUCGGAAUUACUGGGCGUAAAGCGUGCGCAGGCGGUUUUGUAAGUCUGUCGUGAAAUCCCCGGGCUCAACCUGGGAAUUGCGAUGGAGACUGCAAGGCUAGAAUCUGGCAGAGGGGGGUAGAAUUCCACGUGUAGCAGUGAAAUGCGUAGAGAUGUGGAGGAACACCGAUGGCGAUGGCAGCCCCCUGGGUCAAGAUUGACGCUCAUGCACGAAAGCGUGGGGAGCAAACAGG
rnacentral:rRNA from 1 species